ensembl:lncRNA
CACCCAGGAUCCGAACCAGUGAAAUCCUGGGCUGCCGAAGCAGAGUGCACAAAUUCAACAACUCAGCCACAGGGCCGGCCCUCAACCUUGUUUUUUUCACAAUAGUUUGGCUCAGAUUAGUUUCCAAACAAUGUGAACAUAUUGCAUUUGAUUGCUUUGUCUCUCAAAUCUUUUUUAACCUAUAGGCUUCCCCUCCAUCUAUUUUUCCUUGUAAUUUAUUUAUUGAAGAAACCUGGUUAUUUGUCCUGAAGAAUUUUCCACAUUCAAGAUGUUGACGACUGCAUCCUUGAGUUUAACCCGUUCUUCUCUCCCCCUAUAGUUCUUGUAAUUAGACAGAGCCAAAGCCCUGAUUGGAUUCAAGUUUGCUUUCUUUAAAAGCAUUCUUCAUAGGUGGUGCUAUUUACUUCCUAGUUGUCUCAUCAGGAGAACAAGAAAAUCCUAGUUCAUAACAUUAACUACUUAUUUGCAUUAUUAUCUCUUUUUGAGAUGUUAAGAUGGGUCAGUUGGUUGAGGGUCCAUACGUUACAAAGUUCUCCAUCAGCUUUUCACCGACCGGUUUUAGCAACUGUUGGUGAUGUUGCCUACUGGUGAAAUAUAAAUUAUUAGGGGCUACAAAAUUGUGACAUUCUAAUUCUACUGUCUCUUCUGCACUUAACUGGAAUUCUCUUAUAAAGAAGAACCUUCCCUCAUCAACUCUUUGGUAUCCUGAAGCACAGCUGGUAUAGAAAAGUUCUUUUCUCUUGCUUACUCUAAUGAAGCAAGCUGCCAUGUUGUGUGCUACCCUAUGGAGAAGUCCAUGUGGAAGAACUAAGGGCAACAUCUGGCCAACAGCCAUCAAGGAAGUGAGGUCCUCAAAGCAACAGUUCAGUGAGGAACUGAAUCCCGCAACAACCACAUGAGUGAGCUUGGAAGUGAAUCCUCCCCAGAUUUAGCCUCGAGAUGGCAUCAGCCCUGCUGGCACCUUGAUUGCAGCCUUGAGAGAGACCCUGAGUUGGAGGACCCAGCGAACCUGCACCUGAAAUCUUAACCCACAGGAACUGAGAUACUAAAUGUGUUGUUUUAAGCUAUUAAGUUUUGACAUCAUUUCUUGUGCAGCAUUAGUUAACAGAUACACCUCCACGGGGGUUGUUUUGUGUAUACUCUUACCUAUUAGAUGACUGUAGGGAGAGUAGAGUGCUGAUUAAUUGACUAAUGACAAGGUCAGUUGGCCAAUGGUCUUGAGUAGCAUUGUGUGGGGCUCUGGCUUUGCCCCGUUCUCCAUUUCAUCAGUGAUUAGGGUGGCUAAUCCUGCACAUGGUGGGAAAAAAUCCAGAACCAGAGAGUCCUCAACCAACUGAAACAAUGACCAAAUUGUUUGGAUUGUUGCAUAACUAAAUUCAAUUCAGCAAAGACUUACUAAGCUUGGUAACAAUCGUCUGUGUGGCGCUACAGGGACCUGUAGAGGAGGCUGGAGGCCAGAAGGCCCUGCACUCACUGCUAUGAACAGGACCUCAGAGUGUCCCCAGCCCCAAAGUCAAGGAUGGGAUUAAGUCAGGGCUACCAAAUGGCACAGAAGUGCAUAGAGAAAGGCAAGGAAUGAUGUUUAUCAAACCCCCUAAAAAGAAAACAGGAUUGCAGGGGAGGGAAGGGCAUUUUCAAUUGUUGCUCUUUGUCUUUACUCAAAAAGGGCUCCUUAGAAAUGCAGUGACAGUGAGUCAGCACCUGCCUUUAACAAG